UGAAACGCAAAGAAGGAAGUGAUGUCAUGUACGGACAGGAAGUGAUGUAGGGUAAAAGACAGGAAGUUCCAGAGGAGAGGUGACUUGUUAGGAAAUAGCGUACAGACAUGACUGGAUCUUAAGACAGACUAAAUUAUAAAAUAGUGAAGGAAACAUCUGGAGAUCCAAUAACACCCAACAACCAUCUUCACAGGACAUCACCCAUCACAGUGCCUCCACCUCACUGCCUGACAACAGAGGUAAACAGUGCCAAGAAGAUUCUAAAAGUCACCAAGAAGAUCAUUGAUCUGCAGAGAGGAGAGGUUCCUAUAAGGUGUCAGGAUGUCACUGUCUAUUUCUCCA